UACGGAGGGUGCAAGCGUUAAUCGGAAUUACUGGGCGUAAAGCGUGCGCAGGCGGUUUGUUAAGUCUGUUGUGAGAUCCCCGAGCUCAACUUGGGAAUUGCAAUGGAUACUGGCAGGCUGGAGUAUGGUAGAGGAAGGUGGAAUUCCCGGUGUAGCAGUGAAAUGCGUAGAGAUCGGGAGGAACACCAGUGGCGAAGGCGGCCUUCUGGACCAAUACUGACGCUCAUGCACGAAAGCGUGGGGAGCAAACAGG
rnacentral:rRNA from 1 species